AGCAGCCGCGGUAAUUCCAGCUCCAAUAGCGUAUAUUAAAGUUGUUGCAGUUAAAAAGCUCGUAGUUGAAUUUCGGGGUCAAUAAGUUGGUCGUGCCAAUGGUAUGCACUGGCUUUAUUGAUUCCUACCUCUUGACGAACUGUGAUGCCAUUAAUUUGGUGUCGCAAGGAAUCAGGACUGUUACCUUGAAAAAAUUAGAGUGUUUAAAGCAGGCUUACGCUUGAAUACAUUAGCAUGGAAUAAUGAAAUAGGACGUUUGAACCUAUUUUGUUGGUUUCUAGGAUCGACGUAAUGAUUAAUAGGGAUAGUUGGGGGCAUUAGUAUUCAAUUGUCAGAGGUGAAAUUCUUGGAUUUAUUGAAGACUAACUACUGCGAAAGCAUUUGCCAAGGAUGUUUUCAUUAAUCAAGAACGAAAGUUAGGGGAUCGAAGACGAUCAGAUACCGUCGUAGUCUUAACCAUAAACUAUGCCGACUAGGGAUCGGAUGAUGUUAAUUUUUUAAUGACUCAUUCGGCGCCUUACG
rnacentral:rRNA from 1 species